rnacentral:rRNA from 1 species
CAGUAGCCGCGGUAAUACGUAGGUGGCAAGCGUUGUCCGGAAUUAUUGGGCGUAAAGCGCGCGCAGGCGGUUUCUUAAGUCUGAUGUGAAAGCCCCCGGCUUAACCGGGGAGGGUCAUUGGAAACUGGGAGACUUAGAGUGCAGAAGAGGAGAGUGGAAUUCCAUGUGUAGCGGUGAAAUGCGUAGAUAUAUGGAGGAAGACCAGUGGCGAAGGCGACUCUCUGGUCUGUAACUGACGCUGAGGCGCGAAAGCGUGGGGAGCAAACAGGAUUAGAUACCCGGGUAGUCCCUGUCUCUUAUU